UAUGUGUAUGUAUAUAUGUAAGUGUACAUUCAUAGCAUACGUAUAACGCGCGUAUGUACGAAGGAAACGCUUCACUCAUCGCGUACAACGACGACAGAGACUACUAAACGAAUAGAAGAUGAUCCUCGAAUCGACAGGUUCUCCCUAUCCUCUCUUCCUUUACAAAGAAGAAGGACAAAAAGAAGGAGGAAGCUCGGCGUCGUUCGUACGAGCUCCGCGUCAUUCUAUUUCCGAGAGAAAGAGAGAGAGAGAGAGAGAGAGAGAGAGAAAGAGAAAGUUAAAAGUGAAACGUAUCUUACCGCAUACUUCUAGAUCAAUUCCACAGAAACGAGAGAGAAAAUUAUUCCGACCGUGCUCGGCUAUUUCUGCGGGACAAAGAAAUCGCGGGAUAAUGAAGGAAACACAGGGAGACGAAUGGGAGGGAGAGAAUAUGAGGAGAUAAAAGG